rnacentral:rRNA from 1 species
AUAAGACAUGCAAGUCGAACGGGACUUUCAGUGUAGCAAUACAUUGAAAGUUCAGUGGCGUAAGGGUGCGUAACACGUGGGAAAUCUGCCGAGAAGUGGGGGAUAGCUCGCCGAAAGGCGAAUUAAUACCGCAUGUGGUCAGGUGAGGACAUCCUCGCGAAACCAAAGCCGGGGCAACCUGGCGCUUCUUGAUGAUCCCGCGGCCUAUCAGCUAGUUGGCGGGGUAAAAGCCCACCAAGGCUAUGGCGGGU